AUUGAACGCUGGCGGCAUGCCUAACACAUGCAAGUCGAACGGGGGCAGCAAUGCCCUAGUGGCGGACGGGUGAGGAAUACGUAGGAAUUGGCCCACGAGUGGGGGACAACCUGGGGAAACCCAGGCUAAUACCGCAUACGCUCGCGAGAGGAAAGCGGGGGACCUUCGGGCCUCGCGCUGGUGGACAAGCCUACGUCCGAUUAGCUUGUUGGUGGGGUAAAAGCCUACCAAGGCGACGAUCGGUAGCUGGUCUGAGAGGAUGAUCAGCCACACUGGGACUGAGACACGGCCCAGACUCCUACGGGAGGCAGCAGUGGGGAAUAUUGCGCAAUGGGCGAAAGCCUGACGCAGCGACGCCGCGUGAGGGACGACGGCCUUCGGGUUGUAAACCUCUUUCAGCAGGGACGAAGGGAAACUGACUGUACCUGCAAGAAAGCACCGGCUAAACUCUGUGCCAGCAGCCGCGGUAAU
rnacentral:rRNA from 1 species